CGCUCACCGGCGGCAGAGCGCGUUCGCUUCUUUUGUUUCUUUUUCGCUUGCCCUUUGGUCACCCACAAUCUUGGCUAUUCAUUUUUCCAGUCUCCACGAACGCCCACCUCCCCUCCCCCCACACAUACACACAAGUGUGGAGUCAGCCGAACACUACAUCAAAGCCCUCACCCACCCAUUUCCCGCACUACACAGCUACGCACGAGAGCUGGUUCGGCGCAUGCCUUUUUUUCUUUUUCACUGCUCUACUCCUGCGUAGGUUGAUCAUAUGAGUGUCGAUGGACGUAGAUCUCGAGCGUCGGUGUCCCGAGGCGGCGCCGCAUCCAACAGCACUCCAGCGUCCGCCCCGUUUUUCUCCGAGCCGCCGGUGCCGCUGCCCAGCCUUGACGCGCUUCGCACAACCGAUGUUCUUGUGCGCGCCUACUACGUCUCUCUUGCUCCAACAUCACUGAGGGCGCCACCGGCAGCGGACGCACCAUCAGUGAAGGCUUGCGAGCCUCCGGCUGAAAUUGUUACUGCCGCAGGCGAGCUCAAGACGGAAGGAGAGGUUUUUUGCGCCGCUCUAGCUCGCGAGGUGGGCGAGGCGGCGGCCAACCUCUUUGCUUCUCGCUCGCUUGAUCGCCUUGUAGGUGCGUACACGGCGUGUGCGGCGUGGGACGACAUGCGUGAUGUGGUCGCAACCUCGUUUCUCCUACAGGACUAUGGAGAAGGUGUUACUAUGACCCACCGCCCAAGUUUUCUCUUGGCUGCCACUACAGCACCUCCUAAAAACAGCGACGCCACGAUCGCCACCGCCGCGGCGCCGACGCCUCUCUUCCUGCGCAGCGCCUUGUCGCUCGCGGGAGUCUCCACCCGCACGCCUUUGUGCGCUCUCACACCGCAGUCAUUGAUCACCCCACCGCCGCUAUCUGCCUACCAUCACAGCGCUAGUAAACCCACUCACCUGUUGUGCCCGGUGCCUCCUGCAUCAGUGCCGAUGGAUGCGUACUGCCGCUAUGUGAUUGCGGUGGAGGAAGUACCUGUGCCUCCCAGCGCGCCUGACGCGGCUUCGCCGUCCCACCGCAGCGGCCUCCUGCGGCCCCGCAGCACGAAGCACGGCACGGGGCAUUCCGACAAAAGUGCUGCGGCACUCUCCACAGCGCUGCCACUCUCACCGUCGCUGCCUCCUUUCCGUCCGUUCAAGAGAUUCAAGCGGGCGAAGCGGAUGGCGGAUAAGCGCCUCCCAAGGGUAUCUCUUGACGCAGCGUUGCCAGCGGGCGGCGCUGGCGCUCACGAGAGGUGUGUAUCCGCAGCCGGCGUGCAGGUCCCUUCGUCCGAUGCGCUGACGACGGCGAUGCAGCAGGCACCGCCGUCGCUGCUCGGCGACAAUGCAGAGAGCCUUCCACACGCGGAACGCUCAGGUGUGCGAGUGAUGGGCAUAGGCGACUCCACCGCCCAGCUUGGAGGGAGCGAAGUGGCGAGGAAACACGUUGUGAAAGCGUCGCUUCGCAGCGCCGGCGUGGUGCUGGCGGUGGAGCAGGAUCGACUAUGGAGCACGGAGCGGGCAUGCGUGGCACCGACGUGCCGCGACCGUCGCAAGUAUGGUGUUGUAUGCCGCGUGGAGCCGCCGCCAGGCGGCGGCGCCGACGCUGCGAUGCAGGAUAAUGAGUCAGUUACACCUGCGGAAGCUGCCGCGAAGGACGGCGCCGAGCAGCCACGGCGACAGGGCCGCGGGACGACGCAGCGAGCCUCAGCAGCAGCCGCGGCGGAGGCGAAGGAGGCGGCGCUUGCUCGCGAGGCGUGGAUCUCGUCCUUCUACACGACGGCGGCUGCGUCCGAGGUGAUACCGCUGCAAGACCAGGUACAGGUGCACCCAUCGGCCGGGGUAACUGUGAUGGCAGCUAACGGUUCGGCGUCCACUUCUCCUCCACUGCGCUGCUCCAACAAGGCAGCAGCGGGCAACACCGUGGUAGCCAGCGGGGGCCCGUUCGCCGUUCCGGCGGACCGCAUGGCGCUCUCUUCCUUUGACGACAAGCGGCCGGCUGCGCGAAAAGGCAACGGUGGCCUUGCCCGCACCCAGCAGCCGUGCCGCGAUACCAAGCGAACGGCGCGACCUGUUAAGGCAGCCCUCUCUGGGAUAGCGCCCAGCGGGCACUAACACGCGCGUGCGCCUGUCGGAUAGAAGUUCAUUGUGAUGAGGAUAGCGACCGAAGCGCGCGAGCGCUCUAAGGCGCACUAACGUGUAGCCCACACUUACAGAUACACCAAAACAGAGCGAAAGGCGCGUCUAUGACGGCGCGGCGGCGUCAAUUGCGCAUUGCCUUCGCAGCAGACGCUGACUGGGUGUCUAUGUCUCACUCCAGCGAGGGCCGCCUCUUUUGUUCCCACUCUUGUGCAGGUGUUUCCUCCUCCGUGGAGGAGGUGGCGAGCUUUCUGCUCGCUUCCUUUGUUUGCUUAAGCCUUUUCUCAGUCUGGAGCUGACUGAUGAUGAUGUACUCUAUUCAUGUGGUCCCUUCUUUACUCAAUGCAUGUAAGCAGAUUUUUUGACCCUCCCCAUCGCUGGGAUGGAGGGACAGGCGGAUGUGACCCCUUGCGAGGGGGGAGCGGUGCAUGACGAACGAAGAUGCAGCGCUCCCUCCUCUCCCCGCUUUUCCUUCCACCGUUCACCCUUCACCUCCUUCUCGAUUUCAUUUCUUCUUUCGAAGGCACGCCAGCCGAGAAUGCUAACAAU
rnacentral:misc_RNA from 1 species